CCUACGGGAGGCAGCAGUGAGGAAUAUUGGUCAAUGGGCGCAAGCCUGAACCAGCCAUCCCGCGUGCAGGAUGACGGCCCUAUGGGUUGUAAACUGCUUUUGUACAGGAAGAAAAAUCCCUACGUGUAGGGACCUGCCGGUACUGUACGAAUAAGCAUCGGCUAACUCCGUGCCAGCAGCCGCGGUAAUACGGAGGAUGCAAGCGUUAUCCGGAUUCAUUGGGUUUAAAGGGUGCGUAGGCGGCUUUUUAAGUCAGUGGUGAAAUCCUGCCGCUUAACGGUAGAAUUGCCAUUGAUACUGAAGAGCUUGAGUACAGUUGAGGUAAGCGGAAUGUGUAGUGUAGCGGUGAAAUGCUUAGAUAUUACACAGAACACCAAUUGCGAAGGCAGCUUACUAAACUGCAACUGACGCUGAUGCACGAAAGCGUGGGGAGCGAACAGGAUUAGAUACCCUGGUAGUCCACGCCGUAAACGAUGAUCACUCGCUGUAUGCGAUACACAGUAUGCGGCCAAGCGAAAGCAUUAAGUGAUCCACCUGGGGAGUACGAUCGCAAGGUUGAAACUCAAAGGAAUUGACGG
rnacentral:rRNA from 1 species